UCUACUUUAUCUUGAGACCAAGUCCACAAACAAUUACUUGCAUCCAAGCCCCGUGAUCAGGCUUGUUUUUUAGUGCCUCUAAGUUAGACAGCCCUCCUUAUGUCUCCAUGCUGUCACCACCCUGCAUUUGUGAGAAUUACCUAAUGAUGAAUCAGUACAAUUAAGUCAGGCCUAACUCACUCUCUAUCCUGAAUAGCUUUUUUUUUUUCCCCUGGAUUCCUGAUUGCUUUGCUUAUUUUCAGAUUUAGUGACUCAAUUCAACUUUUAAAGUCCCAGUUAAAGUUUAGUGCUGGGGCACAGAUAAAAUUCUGAAAAAAGCUACUCUACUAAUAACAGGCAAGUAUUAACAGCUAGCUGAUCCUGCUUUUAAAUACACCUGCCCUGUGUUACUGAUACUCACUCAGUCUGUCAUGGAAGAGCAGCCUGCAGCUCGCUUGCAGUCCAGUCAUGCCGUCCCUGUUACAAUAAAUCUUUACUCCCAAAGCCGCCAGAAUUCUACCGCCACGUGGGUGGUCUCUGCCAGCUUCCCGAGUUGUGCCCCCCGAGUGGAUGGACAAAAUAAUACAGAGACAUUAUAAAAGGAACAUGGAUGAAGAGCUGCUUGAAGGAGUAUGGGCAGCUAAGAUCUCCUCAUCUUCAUGAUUAUUAUCUUCUCACUUCUUUGGAGCAGGAAGAUCAUGAGAAACCUUCUCUACAGUUUCAUACUAUGCCUGAUGUGUACCACUCUCCUCCCCCAGUGGAAAGGAGGAUGGACAAGACAAUGAACAUGUAUUGUUAUCUCCCCAGAGAGCCAUAG
ensembl:lincRNA